rnacentral:rRNA from 1 species
UACGUAGGGGGCAAGCGUUGUCCGGAAUUAUUGGGCGUAAAGCGCGUGUAGGCGGUCCGCUAAGUCGGCUGUGAAAGCCCCGGGCUCAACUUGGGAACUGCAUUGGAAACUGGCCAGCUGGAGUGUGGCAGAGGGGGGUGGAAUUCCGCGUGUAGCAGUGAAAUGCGUAGAGAUGCGGAGGAACACCGAUGGCGAAGGCAGCCCCCUGGGCCAACACUGACGCUCAGGCACGAAAGCGUGGGGAGCAAACAGG